rnacentral:lncRNA from 1 species
CUAUGUCUCCCGUAUACAGCUGCCAAUUCUGGAGUCUUUGUUGAGGUUAGGAGUCGCUUGCUGCAAGUCUCCUGGUCUUUACCUCUAACAUGAAAGAGCCCUUCACAGUCCAACAAUUAUGUUCAUGGACAUCGUCUCCUUGGGCCCUGUGAUGACCUACUGAAGAAGGCUGAGGCUUAGGUGGCUUGGGAGUUGAGGCUUGCCACUAUGUGAUUCUGCUGUUCAGUGAGCUGAAAACCCUGGUCCAGACUGCACACCUGCCUGUGGAGGGGACACUGUGUGCUGGGCAUCAUUGCCUUCCUCACCUCCAACUCUUCCUACCAAUGGUAGGUCCUGUUCUCUUUAUUUCCUGGAGGGUGAAGAAUGGAGAGUGUGAAAAUGAAAAGCAAUACAAAUCUCAUUGAUUUGAUAAUUUCCAAUUGUAAUCAGAAUGUGAGGCUUAUGGUAGUAGAUGGUCGAUAUGGAGCUGAUGAAUGAAUGCAUAACAAUACUUGACAUCCAUACUGGAAGGUGGUAUGUGUAAAGGUGGUGUGGUGGGAGCUCUGGACUCUGGCUAAGUGGGUCUGCAUCUCAGAGAUUUCAGAUAGUAGUUGGAGACCUUGGGCAAGUGACUUAAUCUCUCUGCCUCAGUUUUCUUAUCUGUAAAAUAGGGAUGAAAUAAUCUUUAUGAAGUUGUAAGGAUUAAAUGACUUAAUAAAAAUCUGUGCGAAGAGUAGUAUCAAAGUGCAUUUCCAUAUGUAUCUAUUUUAUUCUAACAGCCACCUGAUGAUCUAAUUGAAACCAGUAUUUCUCUUACAGUGGAGGGAUCUCAAGUUCUCAGGACUGGUAAGUAGUAGAGAGGUGUCUAAAAUCCAGCUUUGAUUCCAAAGUUUAAUCUUCUAGAUCAAAAUUGUUGUUUGUUCAAGUUUUGAAGAUGAUGGAAAGACCAUUAAAAAAAAAGCAAUUACCUUUGAUUUCAGUCAAGUGUACAGGUCCUACAUGAGGACAGAAGCACUUUCUGUAGUACGAUGAGAUGAAGAGGUUGUAUGGGGCCGCCUGGGGGGCUCAGUUGGG